rnacentral:tRNA from 1 species
GCGUGCAUGGCAAAGUGGUCACUGCACUCCCUUCCCAAGGGAGAGAUCGUGGGUUCGAACCCCACUGCUCGCA